rnacentral:rRNA from 1 species
UACGAAGGGGGCUAGCGUUGUUCGGAAUUACUGGGCGUAAAGCGUACGUAGGCGGAUUGUUAAGUGAGGGGUGAAAUCCCGAGGCUCAACCUCGGAACUGCCUUUCAUACUGGCAAUCUUGAGUCCGGGAGAGGUGAGUGGAACUCCUAGUGUAGAGGUGAAAUUCGUAGAUAUUAGGAAGAACACCAGUGGCGAAGGCGGCUCACUGGCCCGGAACUGACGCUGAGGUACGAAAGCGUGGGAGCGAACAGGGA